UUUUUGGCGUACACUCCGUACAGGGUACCUCAUGUAGAGGAUGCGCAGGCUGGUCUGACGCUUAUAUGGCCUCAUACGGCAAAAGACCAAUUUUCGCACGCCUGUCAGGUAAAUUAUGAACAGGAUAAAAUUGAAAUAUUGAUCAAGUAAUUAUAGAAAACUAAGGAUGUUUAAUACAAGACUUAUAAACGCAGUCUAAUUGAAACAGUUGAUUGCGAGAUAAAACCGGGCUAGAUUUUCUUGUUCUCAAUAUUUCCGCAAUUUCUCGCAGGCUAUUGCUAUGACUACCGAGGACGCCCAGUGGCCCCGGGACAGCAAUUCAGUAUUGAUGGAUGUAACCAAUGUGUGUGCGGUAACAACGGACAGGGCGGCUGUACACUGAUGCUUUGUCCCCCCUCCGAUGGUCACAAAAGACGACGGGGCAGCCAUUGGUAGAAACUCAUCAACUGCAAUCAUUUGUCACGUUUUGUUGCAUUCGUGACUUAGUAAUAUUUGCGGUUUCUUUAUAGGCUUUUGUUUUUUCAGCGCAUUAUAAAUAAUCAAGCACGUA